AUUGAACGCUGGCGGCAUGCCUUACACAUGCAAGUCGAACGGCAGCAUGGGUGCUUGCACCUGGUGGCGACCGGCGCACGGGUGAGUAACACGUAUGCAACCUGCCUCGUACAGGGGGAUAACCCGGAGAAAUUCGGACUAAUAUCCCAUAAUGAUAUUGAAAGGCAUCUUUUGAUAUUUAAAGCUCAGGCGGUACGGGAUGGGCAUGCGGAACAUUAGCUAGUUGGCAGGGUAACGGACUACCAAGGCUGCGAUGUUUAGGGGCCCUGAGAGGGUUAUCCGGCACACUGGUACUGAGACACGGACCAGACUCCUUAGGGAUGCAGAAGUGAGGAAUAUUGGUCAAUAGGCGCAAGCCUGAACCAGCCAUCCCGCGUGAAGGAAGAAGGCGCUACGCGUUGUAAACUUCUUUUCCAGGGGGAGAAUUUUUCCGUCGUGACGGGAAUUGACGGUACUCUGGGAAUAAGCAUCGGCUAACUCCGUGCCAGCCGCCGCAGUAAAAC
rnacentral:rRNA from 1 species